GGAGCGGUGGCAGAGUGGUCGAUUGUGCAGCACUGGAAAUGCUGUGUACGGGUAACCGUACCGAGGGUUCGAAUCCCUCCCGCUCCG
rnacentral:tRNA from 1 species